rnacentral:RNase_MRP_RNA from 1 species
CGUGAAGCUUUGAAGAAAGUCUCCAGAUAAUUUUGAAGGCUGAAAAGGCAACUUGUUCUGAAGGGUGGGAACAAAACUGUAAUACUGGAUCAAAAA